AGGCACCCAAAAAUUACAUAACAAGUGUCUAACGGCCACAACCGUGGAGGGCUGCGAUACCAUCCUUUUAAGUUGGAGCUACAGCAACGAAACCAAUGAAUGCGAAAAAGGUUUCGUUUGUCAUGAAUGCCCCAACAGGUUCGAGACGUUUGAUGAUUGCACAACCGCCUGCAGUGUGGUGUCAAUACCACUCGAAAAUCCGAAACCGCUACCAAAGCCAAUAUUCCCAAAACCAAGGCCAAAGCCAAGGCAUAGGAGCUGCAAGUAUUGGCUUAUGCGUGGCGGAUGCUGCCAGGCGGUCUGGCUUGAUUUCGGCAAGAACUUCUGGGGGAAGAUCCGACGACUGCUUUACUACACUGGCUGUCGACAAGACAAGAACAGAGUGUUUAUAUAUGACUUUUAUGGGAAAAAAUGUCGUGAGGCGAAGAAUCAUCCGCGUGGAGAUAGAGAGCGGCAAAGUGAAGAUCAAUUCAAUGAAUUGAGGGACAGAACACGACGAUGUGAACGUAAAACUGCAAAACCAUCCAGCAUCAAACCCGCCCUGGCCCCCAAACCCUUUACACACAACCCUCAACAUAAGCCCUCCAAACCGACCUUACGCAACCAUGCCUCCAAUGACACCAGAUGGCUCGGGUCCAGCUAACCACACAAACCGUCCCAGCCUACCAGACGUAACCAAACCUGACAACGAAAACGCUGGAAGCCAAGCACAGAAAACAAAUCCUUCAAACACGCAGUACCAAUGGAUCGCAAUAAGCACACCUCCCCAAGCCAGAACAACAAACCCCCAAACACCCCGGAACCCUCAGGACACAGCAGUUUCCGCGGGUUUAACCAAGAGUAUGGAACGUAGGGAGAAUGGAAUGAUUACACACAUUCGAACGCUGAAGACGAUCAUGAAGGAAGAACGUACUUGAACUAAAACGGCCCCGUUUUGAUGCGCUCACAGUUUAGCAGCUGUAGGAGCUCUCUGUAGCAUCGCACUAAAAAGCCAAGGCAACGCCAUUAAGAAACGAACGAAAUAAGCAAAGAACGAUCUUGCAUUUUGUGGGGUAAUAAUUAUAAGCGACAAAAAUCAUUAGCGCUGUACCACAAUUCAGUGAUGCAUCGUACUGGAUUUUAUUAAUGCGUCAAAAGCGAGAAUUCAUAUCUUCAACGACGGAGCGCGUCACAUCGAAGCUGCCUUCGCUUGUUUCGUGAAGAGCACAAAGAUACGUAAUAA